UCUGAAUCUCUUCCACAUCCACUGCUGUCACACAGUUACUUGCAACCUCCAGCUGCGCUUUCACCUUGUACCAAGUCCAUGCGCCGUGGCACACGCCAUGGACGAGCACAAACUGUUUCUGGUUCUUCUUCUCAAUUGCCUUUCUUACUCUCAACAUCUUGGUUCAACACUUGCAUACAUACGGUAAGUUUCCCAAAUACUCUUUGUAUAUUGGCUGUUAGUUUUUGGUCGUUCUCUGAGAUCUAGAGAAUGCUAAAACAACACUACAUUGAUUGUUAGAUUUCUCAUUUCAGCUAUAGUAUGAAAUAAAGUCUGAACGUUUAGAAAGAUCCAUUUUAGAACAUGUUCAAUUGUAUUAAAUCCAGAUACAUUUUUUGUUGGUGGACCUGAAGACUCCAUCUGAGGUCAUUUGUUGGCGUGUUAGAGUUCGUGGUGAUUGUUUCAGUGACCUUCACAGGUUAGAAGUGGUCAUAGUAUAGGCAGGAAUAAGUUAUUGAAACGAGAGAUUAUAAAAGAUUAGUUGAUCAGCUUAGUUAGUUUGGGUGAAAAACUGCUUAGAUUUCUCAAUAUAAGAACUCUUAUUAAUCCAGUGAGGAUCCUAGAUUUAUUUAGGCAAUAUUUACCUGCUAUCUUUAAACGAGAUGAUGACUAGAAUUCUUGAGGCUUUGAUACAUUGGAUCUGUAUCUUUGAUCCCCCAUUACUUCUUCAACCUCCUUAAUAUUCUUGUUCAUAAUCCUUCUAUGUUUAAAAUCCCUGGGCACACAUUAUCAUAUUUGCAUACGCGACCAGUCUCCACAGUCCACCCUUUCUCCUUGAAGCUUCAAGUUGUAACUUCACACACCCUAGCAGAAUCCUCGGCAAGCACAUACCACUCAUGGUUAUUUGCCUUCUCUUUUUAGCCUCUUUGUUCAUCUAUUCUUUUAACUAGUUUCUCUGGUAAUAGAAGAUAUAGAGAAUGGUUCACUAAUAUUUUACUGACCAUUUGUUUUUACUUAGUAUUGACUAUAAGAUCUAGCUAUGAUUAUAUGAACCCAUGAAACCUUCUUAAACAAAAUCAUAUUCGCACUGCUAAACAUUCUUCUAGUAUGCAUUUUCAGCUUGUCUACAUAUAGCAGAUCACGACUAACUUUUUUUUAAUUUUUUCAUAGAAGCUGAAGUUCAUAGUAAUAUACUUAUAAAUGCAGGUUUAUAGGCAUAUGAUCUACAUUAAUACGAUGCUGGAAAUUUUCAGGUAGUGUGUUAUCCUCUUCUUACAUUCUUAUUUAUAUAACCAUUCUUACAAAUAAUAUUAUUUGGUUAUGUCUUAUACAUAUAGAGUGUACUCACCCAUAUCACUCUCAUCUCGCUUAGUGUAGUCGUGAAGUUGAAUUUUGUAACUGUGAUGCAGUGAAGAUCUCAGAUUCAUUUAGGCAUAUUUAUCUGCAAUCUCCAAAAGACGAGUACAGAGUUCUUGAGGCUUGGAGAACAUUGCCAUAUGAUCUGCAUCUUUGAUCUUCAUUACUUCUUUUACUGGAAAGUUCUUGAUCAUCCAGCGCUGGUAAUCCUCGGUUAUCGCGCGGUCCUCUCCACAGAUGAUAUAUAUACGUGUAACGGAUCCAUACCCUUCCUCACUGAAGCUUCUUGUCCCUGCCAGAUUGUUUGUAACGAUCGGGUUUACCCUCACCAACAUUUUUGCCAAUUCAAGAUCCUAAUCCGCCACAACAAUCAUCAAUUAAAAAGUUGACUGAGGUUACAAGCAAAUCUCAUUUGGGUUUUAAGUAGGAGUCUUACUUGGACCGGAGAGAGUUGAUACAAAUCCCUGGCCAUGGAUUUUGGUCCGAAAAGAACAAACUCUAGAGGGCGAUCAG
rnacentral:lncRNA from 1 species